rnacentral:lncRNA from 1 species
GCUUAAGUAGAAUUAAGAGAAGUGGUUAGUGAUAUAAAAAGGAGAAAUUAGGUUAGAAUAGUUUUUACGUGAUAACAAGGAUUUGGGAGAAAACAAAGAGAAGAGAAGAGUCAGAGAAUGAGAAGUCUGUAGAACCUUACUGUCAAUCAAUCUAAGGUAAGGGUGGGACUAACAUUCAAUCUUCUUAAGCCUAUGAUUCUGAAUUUGUGAUUUAACAUGUUGAUGUUC